GUGUCCGUCCCACCAUCUCACUCUUUUACCACAGUGGUUCCAUUCACCAUCUUCUCUCCUUUCAGAAUUAAUUCAUUUUGUGGAUUUCUGCAAAAGUUGUUCCCUUCGUCUAAUUUGAGCUCCCAGUUGUCAUGGUAAGGAAGGCUUCCUUGCAAGUGAGAAAUAAUACCAAGACUCCCCAAUGAAGAUUAUCUGGAAAAGGGGUUUUACUCGGUUCGUUCUUGUGGCUGCAAUUAUUUGGGGUAUGCUCAUUCUAAUUGCUUUUGUUAUUUCAUGCUUGGUCUUGCCAGUCAUCUAUUGUUUUCUCUUUAGUUAACUAUUUCACACUUUCUUUCUUUUGUUUCCCUUGCUAUAUUUACGGAAGCAUUCUCAUUUGCUUUGCUUCAAGUUACUUUGGUGGAUGAGGGGUUUGCGGUAAUGAACAAUGUGAUUAAUCAUUGACGAACCUGAUUGAUAAACCUAGCAUAUUUAGCAUGUGGACUCUAAACACAAAUUAAAUGUUAUCCUCUUUUACAAGUUCCCUGCCUUUAUAGUUAAUGAAACCAUGGCGUAUUUGAAGCUGGAAGUAGUAUGUCUGAUCUUAUUAUUGCCAAUUUUUGUUUCAGAAAUUAAUUAGAAACCUAUACUUUUUACGUUUCAAGAUGGGAUUCUGCAUUUAUCUUCCUUUCUUGAUAUGGAGCCCUUUGUAACAAAAGCAGUAAAAUAUAUGAAAAGACAAGUUAUGGAAAAUAUGGAGCAAUAUAUGAACUUUCUAGAGGAGAUAUGGCGUUUAUAGUUUCCCUGGUAUGGCAGGGGCUGUUUUUGUUGUAAUUCUGUACCAUCCUGGUACCUUUUAAUAAAAUUUACCUUAUCAAAAAAAUAUGAAGUAGUACAUAGAAUUGGACUUGUAUUAACGGAUCUCAGUCACCACUUCCGUUUAGAGGACAUAUGGCAACAAAAAGAUGAGAGCUUUAAAGGUUAGCAUACCGACUUGUCUAACUUAAUUUGAGAGUUCAGCUGUUCCGGCACCUGUUUGUUGCAUUUACCUGGGCCAGUUUCUUCUUCUUUUUUAAAACUUUGGUAAAGACUAAGUUUUGCUCAUAGGAGCAGUGGCAAAUGUUUUGAAAAGGAAAUCUACCUUAGCUUUGGCUACAUGUACUACAUAUAAUAUAUAAUUAAAGUACAAAUCAGGUUUGGUGCUCUCUUGCUCCUUAAUUGCUUAUUCCAUUUUUGACAUGCAUUUGCAUGUUGCAAUCAAUGAAGUACUUAAGAUAAGUGUGUACCAUUCCCAAGUGAUAACAUUAGCAAAAUGGCUUGAAAAAGACUGCCAUACUCACCAAGUGAAUGUGAUUAUAUUCUGCUAAUAAAUACAAUUGAACAGGAAAGAGGAAUGAAAAUGAGUUACGUAAUCGGAGCGUUGUAUUUCUAAUUCCUAAGGAUUUGGUCUCCUUUUGUUAUUCUUGGAGUUCUUUUAAUAUAUACCUGUACACGUUAGAAUAGUUCCCAUUCUUUUUCAACUAAUAAUUGAGCAAAGUCGAGAGUUUGUUGUUGUAAUAACAUGCUGGAAUGAACUUCGUUGUGGGCUGAUUGCUAUUUUUUUCCUAUUUUGUUUUUUGAGUUUCAUUAUCACCGUCUUCAAGGAACUGCUGCAUCAGUCAAAAAUGACUUCAUUCCCUUAUUUUACUAAUUUGUAUACUUUAAUAGAUUUUAAACGCUAUGGAUUUUAAUACAGACAUUAUCAACAUCUUUUUAUUGUUUCUUCCACUGGAAUCUCUUAGCGAUGAGCAAGUUCUUUGUUUUUUUUGGCAUAAAAUUUCUUGCUUUCACAGAUUGAAGAUGUGGCAUUAUUUUCUUUGAGAAAUCCUUCUAAGGUUCCUUCAUGUUCGAGUAUUUGUACAACUUCCUGGUAGAUGCUUCGCAUUCUUAGUAUUGACAAAUUUUAAUAUGUUAAAUCUUUCCCAUUUUAAAGAGCGUCCUAUCGGAAGGUUUUUAAGUUGUUCGCCUGCAAUCAUUGAAGAAAUCUACUGCAAGUUAGAGGGUGAGUCUAUUCUUGAGUUUUAUGCAUUACUUUGUAUUAUGCUGGAUCUGACUGUUAGCUACAUUGAUCGGUAUCUCUCUUGUGAUGUGAUGGUAUGAUGGAUAGACAACUAUUAUAUAUCUAGGAGCAGUUUUGCAUGAUAACAUUGUAAGAGAUUGAUUCUGAUUAUUAGUAUGAGAAUGUAUGUAGCAAAGUAUAAGGCUUGUGCACUUCAAGUGCAAGAGUCUGCUACAUAAAACACUAUACUCCAGGAAGCAUGUAGCUUGGCCUUUUGAUCCACACGACAUCCUAUGCUGCAGCGAAAGAAAUUAUUUGCAAAUAAUAUCUGGAUCUGAAGGUAGGUCGCCGCACGCAAAUGGAUUGGCAUACUCCGUAAUACUUUUGGCUGACUUGGAAGACUCUCUGAGGUCCAUCAUUUUUGUUUGGUUUGCACGGGCAUUCUUUUGUAGGUGCCGCAUUACUUGGCUUAUGUGGUCUGCAUAAUGAGCCUAUUAUUUGGAGGAAAAAGAAAGACGAAAGAAGGUUUAUUUACAUGUAGUUUCCUCUGUUACUCCAUUAUAUAAUCAACUUGGGAUUUGGCGUGGCUAUUUUCUAAGUAGGUGACUACUUGCUAUUAGUCUGAGUUGUUUUCUUCUCAGAUAAUUAUUGUAAUUGCAUUUCAUGGGGUGUCCCUUGCAAUGUUUUGCAUUUAGUUGGGUAAUAGCAUUAGGAAGCCAAUCAGAAUCCGAAUAACUGGUGGUGCUUGUAAGUCCUAUUUUUCUUUGAUCAAAUCUGAUUUUCACUUUUCGAAUU